rnacentral:rRNA from 1 species
GAUGAACGCUAGCUACAGGCUUAACACAUGCAAGUCGCGGGGCAGCAUGGGGGUUGCUUGCAACUCCCGAUGGCGACCGGCGCACGGGUGAGUAACGCGUAUCCAACCUGCCCUUCACCACGGGAUAACCCGGCGAAAGUCGGACUAAUACCGUAUGUUGUCCAUUGACGGCAUCCGAUUUGGACGAAAGGCUUUGCGGUGAAGGAUGGGGAUGCGUCCGAUUAGCCAGACGGCGGGGUAACGGCCCACCGUGGCUACGAUCGGUAGGGGUUCUGAGAGGAAGGUCCCCCACACUGGAACUGAGACACGGUCCAGACUCCUACGGGAGGCAGCAGUGAGGAAUAUUGGUCAAUGGGCGUAAGCCUGAACCAGCCAAGUAGCGUGCAGGAAGACGGCCCUAUGGGUUGUAAACUGCUUUUAUGCGGGGAUAAAGUGGCCCACGUGUGGGCUUUUGCAGGUACCGCAUGAAUAAGGACCGGCUAAUUCCGUG